GGAUUCCCCUAGUAACUGCGAGUGAAGCGGGAAAAGCUCAAAUUUAAAAUCUGGCAGUCUCUGGCUGUCCGAGUUGUAAUCUAGAGAAGUAAUGCCCGUGCUGGACCGUGUAUAAGUCUCCUGGGAUGGGGCGUCAUAGAGGGUGAGAAUCCCGUCUUUGACACGGACUACCAGURCAUUGUGGUAUGCUCUCAAAGAGUCGAGUUGUUUGGGAAUGCAGCUCAAAAUGGGUGGUAAAUUCCAUCUAAAGCUAAAUAUUGGCGAGAGACCGAUAGCGAACAAGUACCGUGAGGGAAAGAUGAAAAGAACUUUGGAAAGAGAGUUAAACAGUACGUGAAAUUGCUGAAAGGGAAACGCUUGAAGUCAGUCGCGUUGGCUGGGAAUCAGCCUUGCUUUUGCAUGGUGUAUUUUCUGGUUGACGGGUCAGCAUCAAUUUUGACCGCUGGAAAAAGGCCUGGGGAAUGUGGCAGCUUCGGCUGUGUUAUAGCCCCUAGUCGCAUACAGUGGUUGGGAUUGAGGAACUCAGCACGCCGCAAGGCCGGGUUUCGACCACGUUCGUGCUUAGGAUGCUGGCAUAAUGGCUUUAAGCGACCCGUCUUGAAACACGGACCAAGGAGUCUAACAUGCCUGCGAGUAUUUGGGUGGAAAACCCAAGUGCGUAAUGAAAGUGAAAGUUGAGAUCCCUGUCGUGGGGAGCAUCGACGCCCGGACCAGAACUUUUGGGACGGAUCCGCGGUGGAGCAUGUAUGUUGGGACCCGAAAGAUGGUGAACUAUGCCUGAAUAGGGUGAAGCCAGAGGAAACUCUGGUGGAGGCUCGUAGCGAUUCUGACGUGCAAAUCGAUCGUCAAAUUUGGGUAUAGGGGCGAAAGACUAAUCGAAC
rnacentral:rRNA from 1 species